rnacentral:rRNA from 1 species
GAUGAACGCUGGCGGCGUGCCUAAUACAUGCAAGUCGAGCGAACGGACGAGAAGCUUGCUUCCCGGAGGUUAGGGGCGGAGGGGGGAGUAACACGUGGAUAACCAACCUAUAAGACGGGGAAAACUUCGGGAAACCGGAGUUAAUACCGGAAAAUAUUUUGAACCGCAGGGUUCAAAAGGGAAAGACGGUUUUGCUGCCACUUAUAGAUGGAUCCGCGCUGCAUUAGCUAGUUGGUAAGGUAACGGCUUACCAAGGCAACGAUGCAUAGCCGACCUGAGAGGGUGAUCGGCCACACUGGAACUGAGACACGGUCCAGACUCCUACGGGAGGCAGCAGUAGGGAAUCUUCCGCAAUGGGCGAAAGCCUGACGGAGCAACGCCGCGUGAGUGAUGAAGGUCUUCGGAUCGUAAAACUCUGUUAUUAGGGAAGAACAUAUGUGUAAGUAACUGUGCACAUCUUGACGGUACCUAAUCAGAAAGCCACGGCUAACUACGUG